rnacentral:tRNA from 1 species
UCUCUUGUGACUCAGACGGUAAAGAACCUGCCUGUAAUGCAGGAGACCCAGGUUCCAUCCCUGGGUUGAGAA